rnacentral:rRNA from 1 species
UAAGAAGGGGGCUAGCGUUGUUCGGAAUUACUGGGCGUAAAGCGCACGUAGGCGGAAUUGUUAGUCAGGGGUGAAAUCCCGGGGCUCAACCUCUGAACUGCCUUUGAUUCUGCGAUUCUCGGGUCCGAUAGAGGUGUGUGGAAUUCCUAGUGUAGAGGUGAAAUUCGUAGAUAUUAGGAAGACCACCGGUGGCGAAGGCGGCCCACUGGCUCUGUAAUGACGCUGAGGUGCGAAAGCGUGGGGCACAACCAGU